rnacentral:rRNA from 1 species
UACGUAGGGUGCAAGCGUUAUCCGGAAUUAUUGGGCGUAAAGAGCUCGUAGGCGGUUUGUCGCGUCUGCUGUGAAAACCGGAGGCUCAACCUCCGGCCUGCAGUGGUACGGGCAAACUAGAGUGCGGUAGGGGAGAUUGGAAUUCCUGGUGUAGUGGUGGAAUGCGCAGAUAUCAGGAGGAACACCGGUGGCGAAGGCGCCACUCUGGGCCGAAACUGACGCUGAGGAGCGAAAGCGUGGGUAGCGAACAGG